rnacentral:rRNA from 1 species
AGCUCCAAUAGCGUAUAUUUAAGUUGUUGCAGUUAAAAAGCUCGUAGUUGGAUUUCGGGUUGGCUUCAGCGGUCUCGCUUUGCGUCUGUACUGCUGAAGCCUACCUUCUUGUCGGGGACGGGCCUACGGGCUUAAUUGCUUGGGGCCCGGAGUCGACGAUGUUACUUUGAGUAAAUUAGAGUGUUCAAAGCAAGCCUACGCUCUGAAUAUAAUAGCAUGGGAUAACACGACAGGACUCUGGCCUAUCGUGUUGGUCUGUAGGACCAGAGUAAUGAUUAAGAGGGACAGUCGGGGGCAUUCGUAUUCCGUUGUCAGAGGUGAAAUUCUUGGAUUUACGGAAGACGAACAUCUGCGAAAGCAUUUGCCAAGGAUGUUUUCAUUGAUCAAGAACGAAAGUAGG